UUGAUUGACAGCUGCGGACUCUGUGGGAGACUUGCUCACAUUUAGCAGCUAGUACAGCAGCUGCAAAUAAUUUGGAGGAUCCAUCCUCUUUGUCCCACAUCACUUCACCCAAUGAAGCACUCCUUAACAGAGGAGGCACUUCUGUCAGCUGUUACUCUCAAACACAGCACCUUUCUCUGGCUGGAGCUGCAUUUGCGCACCAAAAAGGCUCUCUGAGCAGGAUAUAGAGGGCGGAGUCUUGGUUGAGCGACAGCUGCAGCCACACCUGGUGCGUCAACAGCAGACGAUCCAGGACGCUGAAGGCUCUCAGAGAGCCUGGCUGGAUUGGCUUGCUGCUGGAUGUCACACUGUGUGGGCUGCCGGCGAACGUUUGCGAGCGUAGCAGCAGAUGGUUGCCAUGGCAACCCGGGCCUACACAUCCUACCAGGCAUUCCCACUCAGUGAAACACCCUUUCUCUGUCAAGUUGGAGAUGCGCGUGCACAUAUGAACACACACACACACACACACACACACACACACACAUAUUUAUACUGUAUAUACACACACAAACAUGCACGCACACUAUGUUAAAGGGGUGACAGGUUUUUCCGGUAUGCAGAGGUGUUUUAUUUCUAGGAAGCUUUAUUUUUUUCCUGUCUUUUUUUUUUUUUUUUUAAAUAAAUAAAUUAAAAAAAGUGAUGCCUUUAAUAAUCAGUAUUUUUUUGGCAGCUUCCCUCGAUGCUUCCUCCCUCACAUCGGAGCACCAAAGUUCACUCCUGAGCAAUGACUGUGUUGCUCUAAAAAUCAG